rnacentral:rRNA from 1 species
AUUGAACGCUGGCGGCAGGCCUAACACAUGCAAGUCGAACGAGAGGCGGACGGGUGAGUAAUGUCUGGGAAACUGACCGAUGGAGGGGGAUCACUACUGGAAACGGUAGCUAAUACCGCAUACCAUCGGAUGUGCCCAGAUGGGAUUAGCUAGUAGGGGGGGUAAAGGCGCACCUAGGCGACGAUCCCUAGCUGGUCGGAGAGGAUGACCAGCCACACUGGAACUGAGACACGGGCCAGACUCCUACGUGAGGCAGCAGUGGGGAAUAUUGCACAAUGGGCGCAAGCCUGAUGCAGCCAUGCCGCGUGUAGGAAGAAGGCCUUCGGGUUGUAAAGUACUUGCAGCGGGGAGGCGUUACCCGCAGAAGAAGCACCGGCGAACUCCGUGCCAGCAGCCGCGGUAAUUC